rnacentral:rRNA from 1 species
GACGAACCGAGCGAACGUUGUUCGGAUUCAUUGGGCGUAAAGGGUGCGUAGGUGGCGCCGUAAGUCAGGUGUGAAAUUUCGGAGCUUAACUCCGAAACUGCAUUGACUACUGCGGUGCUUGAGGACUGGAGGAGGAGACUGGAAUUUACGGUGAGCAGUGAAAUGCGUAGAGAUCGUAAGGAAGACCAGUGGCGAAGGCGGGUCUCUGGACAGUUCCUGACACUGAGGCACGAAGGCCAGGGGAGCAAACGGGAUUAGAA